CACAAAUGGCAACGCAAGUAUCCCAAGGUGGCUCGGCCGGGACGGAAACCUGGCUUGGAGUCAAGGGGCAAAAGCCGGCUCGAUCUCGUUCUUUAGUAAGGAAGGGGACCACGAAAGCGGGGGAUCCUUUCUUUUUUUUUAAAGUCUAAUGAGAGAAGGGACAGAAAAGUUAUUAAAGCAGCGUUUCUCAAACUGUGGGGUGCGCCCCCCUAGAAGGGCCCGAUAACCCUACGAGGGGGGGGGCGCCAGCAUAUUGAAAAGUAGAAAACUAAAGAGAUUGAUUUAGAGAAAUUAUUAAUUUACUGAAAGUAAACAAAUAAAAUACAUUCUGAAAUAAAAAAAUAAAAUACAUUCUGAAAUAAAAAAAUAAAAUACACAUUUACACUGAUAUAAUACAUUUAUAAAUAUAUCGGCACUGCGCAAUAUAAUUUACAAUUAACUAAAUAAUACUAAAGAAUUUAAUAAUUACCAGUGACCCCAUUGGCUUUUCAUAUAUAAAAUUAUAUACAAAAAUUAACCCUUUUCUUGAUAAUUUGUACGGUUUAUAGUUAAUUCCUUAAAUACCGAUAAAAUUACGCGAUUUGCUCUUUAAUACCACCGUUUUACACGUAGGCUGGCGUACGUGGUGCAUUGGGGUAGAAAAGGAACAAAUAAGCAAAUCCUCUGAAAUAAGUAAAUCCUUAGCAGACGCUUUUAAGGUAAUUUUAUUGCAUUCCAAAGCCUUCUGAAUAAUUGUAUAGAUAGCAGUGCACAGAAAAGAUCGUAUUUCGGGAAGACGUAUAUAUACGUCCGGGGCAAUUAACGCUUUGGCUGAGCGAGACAUUUACUAUAUACGUCGGUGGUACUUAUAAAGUCGUAUUGUAGCAUAGUAUUAUUGCAUUCAAUACAUUGUAAUUGAAUGGGGGGCGAUGAAAAUUAUGAUUGAAAAGUGGGUCGCAAGUAUUGAAAGUUUGAGAAACACUGUAUUAAAGGGAUAAUUGACUCGUGGCUUCCAAGCGUUCAUAGCGACGUUGCUUAUUGAUUUUUUGAUGUCGGCUCUUCCUAUCAUGGUGAAGCAGAAUUCGCAAAGCGUUGGAUUGUUCACCCGCUAACAAGGAAUGUGAGCUGGGCCUAGACAGUCAUGAGAUAGGUUAAUUUUACCCACAUGAAGACGGGUCGUUGCGAUGUUAAAAUCUGCCCAGUACGAGAAGAACCGUAGGUUCGGACAUUUGGUACUGCGCUCGGUGGCACGAAGCUACCAUUCAGGGAGAUAACGGUUGAACAGGUUGGGUAAAGAUGAUGCGCGCCCCACGCGUCAAUCGGCCGCUCGGACAGUUCGCCCUUACGAGCGAGAGGGGUGAGCGCGAGAUGGCGAAAGAACUCCUUCCUAUGCCUUUGAGGGCCCACCUAGACUCCGUGGGUCUUGC